rnacentral:rRNA from 1 species
CAAUAGCGUAUAUUAAAGUUGUUGCAGUUAAAAAGCUCGUAGUUGGAUUUGUGGCGUACGGUGUGUUCCGGGCACUUGUUGUCUGAGUAACCUGCUGUUGCCAUCCUUGGGUGGAACCUGUGUGGCAUUAGGUUGUCGUGCAGGGGAUGCCCAUCAUUUACUGUGAAAAAAUUAGAGUGUUCAAAGCAGGCUUAUGCCGUUGAAUAUAUUUGCAUGGAAUAAUGAGAUAGGACUUUUUUGCUAUUUUGUUGGUUUGCGCAAAGAGGUAAUGAUUAAUAGGGACAGUUGGGGGUAUUCGUAUUCCAUUGUCAGAGGUGAAAUUCUUGGAUUUUUGGAAGACGAACUACUGCGAAAGCAUUUACCAAGGAUGUUUUCAUUAA